GCAAUUAACUAUUCGAGAGCGCGUAGGUGAGACUCGAGUGCCGUGUAAAAAUGCAAAAUUGGAUUAAGCGCCGGUGAAAGGACCAUUAGAGGGGAGAUAUUAAAAGUUAGCGACGGCUUUAGUUACUGCUAUCAGAAAGCACGAGUGUGAAAGGGCCUUGAAAAUGGUAGCGGACUCAAAGCCAUGAACAUCAUUCGUUCGAUAUUCGAUAAUAAUAAAAUACGUUCGAAAAAUGAGGGGAAAAGAUAAAGAGUAUUUAUUCAGAUAAUGGUUAAGAUAAUGAAAAUGUCAAGAGAUAAAAAAAGCAUAACAUCCUGUUAUCAUUCGAUUUCUGUGUGGCUUAUUAUUUAUAAAUGCAUGUAAAAGCUUAUAAGCUCUUGAACAAGCAAUCGAAAAUACAAUUCUAUGAAAAAUCCAACGACGAUAUCGUCAAAAAGUUCGUUUUUGGAAUAGUUUGUUCUUUAGGAUUUUUUGAUUUUUACUUGAUUACUAUCAAUCUCUUUUAUAUAUAUUACUUAUGUAAAAUAAUUUUAAAAUAUGUUUUAUAUAUAUGUAUUUACAUAUUGUUGAUUUAAAAAUUUAUAAUCAAAAAGGUUAUUUAUGAAGUUGACAUAGAAUUACUAUUAAUAAAGAAUUUUUUGAAUUCUUUAUUUUUGCAAUUAUUAAAAGUAUAUGAGAGACUUUUGACAAAUUGAAUUUGAUAUUAUUGUUGAUUUUUAUUGAAAUAGAGAACUAAUUGUAUAUUUAUAUAUAUAGUUAUUUUUAUUAUAAUAUUUGAUUAUUAUUAAUUAUCAUAAAUAGACAUAAUAAAAUUUAA